rnacentral:lncRNA from 1 species
CGGGACCGCCAGAGCCCGGGACCACGAAGCCCGGGACCGCGAGGCCCGGCCCGUUAGGCCCACUAAGGCCCGGGCCCGGGACAAAAUACAGCAUUACUUCAAUAUGCUGAUCUCAAACACUACAUUAACUAUUAAAUAACAAAUUUUGUUUCAAAUGAAUAUACUUGCAAUGAACUUUGAAGAAGGAAUAUGUCAUAUACAACAUCAAAUAAUAAAACCAAUUGUUUCAAGGUGUCUGCCAGCCAUUAACCUUAUAUAUAUAUAUUCAUAUUAUAUCAUAAAUAUCAUAAUGGUCCAAUUGUGAUCCGGCCCUUCUCCGGACUCUGCGCAUAGCGGGAGCGUAGUGCACCGAGCUGCCCAUAAUUGUCCAAAACUCUUCGUUAUUAGCUUCUGAUAAAUCAAUUUGUUCUAGUCCCACCAUUUUCAAUUCCAUCUCCAGAAUUUUCCUACAAAUUUAAAAUCAAAUUAAAAGCUAGAUAGAAACCAAUAUUAUACAAGUGCAAACUCAAAUGAGCAUAUUUUCACCAAUCAAAAGCACAACACUAUUAACAAUGAAAAAGUAGUACUUUCGGGGCAGAAGACAGUGGAUGCGCGGACAAAUAGAAAUCAGUAGCCAUUUGACAUUCAGAGUAAUUUCUUAUAUGUUUUAGUGAGUAGUGGAUAUAGACCAGUUCACACCACCACAUGCAAAUAACUUUAUACAAUCAUGCUUAAGUUGGCCUCAUUAUUUAGGGGGGCUACAAACUUAACAAUGACCUUCUGAUAGAAUAUGUAAUAACAAACUAUCCAACUUAGCACUUAUCUUCACCAAUCAGAUGCACAUUACUUUCAACAGAGAAAAUGACAUUUGGAAGCUACUUGUACACCAUGUCUCUAUUAGAAAGCAGUAACUUUUGAAUGCAUGUACGACCCCUCUGGCAUAAUACAUGAUAUUUUUAUGUUCUUCGUACAAGACAAUAAUUCGUUUGAUUUCACAAAUAUGUAGGUAAGAUGCUUUUCGCUUCGCCUUAUGAAUGUCCUCAAAGACGAAAACUAAGUAAUAAGAAGGCAUAAACUUUUAGGUGGUAUGAAAUAUUUUUCUAAUUUCUAGGUGGUAUGAAGCAUAAAACAUUCUAAUAAAGUUGAACAUAUGUUAUAAUGGAGUACUGAUUUUAGAGAAAAUAACUAGUGGAUAAAAUCAUAGUUUUGGCUUCAACAGUAGUAUAUGUUUUACAAUUCUACGAGUAAGAAGCUUGAAAAAUAAAGCAAUUGUAUAAUUGGAUAGAAAAAUUACCAGAUAUUGCUUAAGUAACCUUAUAAA